rnacentral:misc_RNA from 1 species
AGCACAAUCUAAAAAAAAUGAUUUUUAAGUAAAUUUAAUUGAUGAAUCUUAUCUAAUAUGUUAUAAAUGACGCGCUUUAAAUACACACACGUUUCGGCACAUAUGAUAGGGUCCCUUUGUGGGUUUCGUAUGGGAAGCGUGGAGGAAUAACC